rnacentral:rRNA from 1 species
GACGAACGCUGGCGGCGUGCCUAAUACAUGCAAGUAGAACGCUGAAGGAGGAGCUUGCUUCUCUGGAUGAGUUGCGAACGGGUGAGUAACGCGUAGGUAACCUGCCUGGUAGUGGGGGAUAACUCUUGGAAACGAUAGCUAAUACCGCAUAAUAGCAGUUGUUGCAUGAUAACUGUUUGAAAGAUGCAAUUGUACCGCUACCAGAUGGACCUGCGUUGCAUUAGCUAGUUGGUGGGGUAACGGCUCACCAAGGCGACGAAACAUAGCCGACCCCAGAGGGGUAUCGGCCCAACUUGGACUUGGACACGGCCCAGACUCCUAAGGGAGGGAGCAGGAGGGAAUCCUUGGAAAAGGACGGAAGGCUGACCGAGCAACGCCGGGGGAGGGAAGAAGGUUGUCGGAUCGUAAAGAUCGUUUGUAAGGGAAGAACGAGUGUGAGAGUUGAAAGUUCACACUGUGACGGUACCUAAUCAGAAAGGGACGGCUAACUACGUG